rnacentral:rRNA from 1 species
GAUGAACGUUGGCGGCGUGCCUAACACAUGCAAGUCGAACGGAAAUAGCAAUAUUUGAGUGGCGCACGGGUGAGUAACACGUAGCUAAUCUACCUCAAAGCGCGGGAUAACGUGUCGAAAGACAGGCUAAUACCGCAUAAGCUCCCGGUCUGUAGAGGGUUGGGAGAAAAGGCGUAAGUCACUUUGAGAUGAGGCUGCGGCCCAUCAGCUAGUUGGUGCGGUAAUGGCGUACCAAGGCGACGACGGGUAGGGGACCUGAGAGGGUGACCCCCCACACUGGGACUGAGACACGGCCCAGACUCCUACGGGAGGCAGCAGUGAGGAAUAUUGCACAAUGGGCGAAAGCCUGAUGCAGCGACGCCGCGUGGGUGAAGAAGGUUUUCGGAUCGUAAAACCCUUUUCUGUGUGACGAGCAAGGACGGUAGCACAGGAAUAAGUCUCGGCUAACUACGUGCCAGCAGCCGCGGUAAAAGUCUCUAU